GGUAAAAUAAAUAAUAAACUGUAGACAGUAGGGACCUAAGGUUUAAAUUUCCUACCGAGGUAAGAGCGAAAUAAUUUGUAUUCAAAUUAAUGGUCUCUACGUGUCUACGUAGAGACCAUUAUUAUUUUGUAA
rfam:Tissierella creatinophila DSM 6911 TICR_contig000043, whole genome shotgun sequence.